CCCCGGGGAUGGAUCUGUUGAAAUGCAUGAUGUAAAGAAUCAUCGCACCUUUUUAAAGCGGACAAAAUAUGAAGACCUUCACCUGGAAGAUUUAUUUAUAGGCAACAAAGUGAACAUCUUUUCUCGACAACUGGUGCUGCUUGACUAUGGAGAUCAAUACACAGCUCGCCAACCUGGCAGUAGGAAAGAAAAAACAUUAGCCCUGAUUAAACCAGAUGCAGUGUCAAAAGCUGGAGAAAUAAUUGAAAUAAUAAACAAAGCUGGAUUUACUCUAACCAAACUCAAAAUGAUGACGCUAUCAAGGAAAGAAGCAACAGAUUUUCAUAUAGACCAUCAGUCAAGGCCCUUUUUAAAUGAGCUGAUUCAGUUUAUUACAAGUGGACCUAUAAUUGCCAUGGAGAUUUUACGAGAUGAUGCUAUAUGUGAAUGGAAGAGACUUCUUGGACCUUCAAACUCUGGCCUGGCACGUACAGAUGCUCCUGAAAGCAUUAGAGCCCUCUUUGGAACAGAUGGCAUAAAGAAUGCAACUCAUGGCCCUGAUUCUUUAGCUUGUGCUGCCAGAGAAAUGGAGUUAUUUUUUCCUUCGAGUGGAGUGUGUGGGCCAGCAAACACUGCUAAAUUUACCAACUGUACUACUUGUUGCAUUGUUAAGCCCCAUGCUGUCAGCGAAGGACUUCUGGGAAAGAUCCUGAUGACUAUCCGAGAUGCAGGUUUUGAAAUCUCAGCUAUGCAGAUGUUUAACAUGGAUCGGAUUAAUGUUGAAGAGUUUUAUGAAGUUUAUAAAGGAGUAGUGUCUGAGUAUAAUGAAAUGGUGACGAAAUGUAUUCUGGGCCUUGUGUAGCAAUGGAGAUUCAACAAACUAAUCCUACAAUGACAUUUCGAGAAUUCUGUGGACCUGCUGAUCCUGAAAUUGCCCGACAUUUACGCCCUGGAACCCUCCAAGCAAUCUUUGGUAAAACUAAGAUCCAGAAUGCUGUCCACUGUACGGAUCUGCCAGAGGAUGGUCUAUUAGAGGUUCAGUAUUUCUGCAAGAUCUUGGAUAACUAGCAGUGUAGAAAGUAAGGCAGUCACAGGUUGGGGCAUUUAGACAAGAGUGAAUCACGCACAUGAGGAAUGUGUUCAUUCUUUUAUUGUCCAUUGUUUUAACCUGACUGAAUACAAGAUCAACAAGAGCACUGUUCUCCUGGCAAUUAUGACAUGUUAGAACAUGGAUUUUUGCACUGUAGACAACAUUCAACAUCAGUCUAUGGGGUGCUGCAUUGCUUUUUAUAAAGUCCAAAAUAAAGAUUUAUUUUCAAACAAAAAAAAAAAUAAAAUAAAAUAAAAAUAAACAGAUACUGUGAGAGUUAUAUCAGGGAAGCCCAGGGAUGUGGGUGUUUCCAGGUGGGGUGUCAAAUGCCUGGUAAGGAGCACAACAGUGUACUGACAUUGGUGAGCUGUAUAGAGCAAACUGUCCAUCACCAGAGACCUUGACAAGGCUGGUUCAGAAGACGGUAGCAUGUGUCAGGAUAUCACGGUGGGGUGGGUGGAUUCUCAGAGUCUAUAGGUAAAUGAAGACCAAAACUCUCACAGUCACAUACACUUGUCUAACGGAAACACCCUUUGUGAAAAGCCACAUUUGUGACUUGUG